CACGUAGGGUCCGAGCGUUGUCCGGAAUUACUGGGCGUAAAGAGCUCGUAGGUGGUUUGUCGCGUUGUUCGUGAAAACUCACAGCUCAACUGUGGGCGUGCGGGCGAUACGGGCAGACUUGAGUACUGCAGGGGAGACUGGAAUUCCUGGUGUAGCGGUGGAAUGCGCAGAUAUCAGGAGGAACACCGGUGGCGAAGGCGGGUCUCUGGGCAGUAACUGACGCUGAGGAGCGAAAGCAUGGGGAGCGAACAGG
rnacentral:rRNA from 1 species